CAUCCAUAAUAUUAGUCAGGUACAGACAGAAGGCAUGACUGGCAUUUUAAAAAUUAGUUCUAUUAUUAUUUUAUUUAUUCUGCUAGCAGUCUUUAUCCCAGCACUGAAUGGCUGGCAUUUUAAAUUUGAAGCAAUGAAUUACAAACUUUAACGAUAAAAUUAAUUUUAAAAACAGUAAAUUGGCGGACAGUUCCCUCCAUCCCUCUGCACAUGUUCCAUGCUGCAGUCAGCCUGGGCCGCUCACUACUUUCUGAAGGUAUCCCGGCUUUCCCUCUUCCAUGCCCAGGUUUUCCGCCCUAGUCCACUCUCCUAGGCCACCCCCACCAACAUGUGAACAAGGAAGCCGCAAGGAUUCUUUCUGUUCUGUGUUUCAGAAUCUGUGAUACUAUAAAUGCACACUCCAAUACCUUGGAGAUGGUUUACCUCAAAGACCAAAUAUAUUUCCUAUUUAUAUUCAAUGAAUAAUUAAUGGAAGCGAAUUAUGUGAAGGUGUAACAAUAGAUAAAAAGUUUUUCUUUGCAGGAAAUUACCUCUCCACACAGUCUGAGAGUCUGGAAGUCAAGUUGGAUGCGGGAGCGUCGUGCCCCCCUAUAGCAUACAGCAGUCCGUUCCAGGUCGUCACUCCUACGCCACCUCUCCUUUUUGACAUCUGUGCACACAGUGUCCACUUAUUAGUAUGAGGA